rnacentral:rRNA from 1 species
UACGUAGGGUGCGAGCGUUGUCCGGAAUUAUUGGGCGUAAAGGGCUCGUAGGUGGCCAACUAAGUCAGACGUGAAAUCCCUCGGCUUAACCGGGGAACUGCGUCUGAUACUGGAUGGCUUGAGUUCGGGAGAGGGAUGCGGAAUUCCAGGUGUAGCGGUGAAAUGCGUAGAUAUCUGGAGGAACACCGGUGGCGAAGGCGGGUCUCUGGGCCGAUACUGACGCUGAGGAGCGAAAGCGUGGGGAGCGAACAGG